rnacentral:rRNA from 1 species
CACGUAGGGGGCAAGCGUUGUCCGGAUUUAUUGGGCGUAAAGAGCUCGUAGGCGGCUUAGUAAGUCGGGUGUGAAACCUCCAGGCUCAACCUGGAGACGCCACCCGAUACUGCUGUGGCUAGAGUCCGGUAGGGGAGCGUGGAAUUCCUGGUGUAGCGGUGAAAUGCGUAGAUAUCUGGAGGAACACCGGUGGCGAAGGCGGCCA